GGAUAGCUUAGUCGGUAAAGCAUGAGACUCUUCAUUUCAGGGUUUAGGGUUCAAGCCUCAGGUUGGGCA